GACGAACGCUGGCGGCGUGCUUAACACAUGCAAGUCGAGCGGUAAGGCCCUUUCGGGAGUACACGAGCGGCGAACGGGUGAGUAACACGUGGGUGACCUGCCCUCAGCUCUGGGAUAAGCCUGGGAAACCGGGUCUAAUACCGGAUAUGACUCCAUGACGCAUGUUGUGGGGUGGAAAGCCUUGUGCGGCUGAGGAUGGGCCCGCGGCCUAUCAGCUUGUUGGUGGGGNGAUGGCCUACCAAGGCGACGACGGGUAGCCGGCCUGAGAGGGCGACCGGCCGACACUGGGACUGAGACACGGCCCAGACUCCUACGGGAGGCAGCAGUGGGGAAUCUUGCGCAAUGGGCGAAAGCCUGACGCAGCGACGCCGCGUGAGGGAUGACGGCCU
rnacentral:rRNA from 1 species